rnacentral:rRNA from 1 species
ACCCGCUGAACUUAAGCAUAUCAAUAAGCGGAGGAAAAGAAACCAACAGGGAUUGCCCUAGUAACGGCGAGUGAAGCGGCAACAGCUCAAAUUUGAAAUCUGGCUCUUUUAGAGUCCGAGUUGUAAUUUGCAGAGGGCGCUUUGGCUUUGGCAGCGGUCCAAGUUCCUUGGAACAGGACGUCACAGAGGGUGAGAAUCCCGUACGUGGUCGCUGGCUAUUGCCGUGUAAAGCCCCUUCGACGAGUCGAGUUGUUUGGGAAUGCAGCUCUAAAUGGGAGGUACAUUUCUUCUAAAGCUAAAUAUUGGCCAGAGACCGAUAGCGCACAAGUAGAGUGAUCGAAAGAUGAAAAGCACUUUGGAAAGAGAGUCAAACAGCACGUGAAAUUGUUGAAAGGGAAGCGCUUGCAGCCAGACUUGCUUACAGUUGCUCAUCCGGGCUUUUGCCCGGUGCACUCUUCUGUAGGCAGGCCAGCAUCAGUUUGGGCGGUAGGAUAAAGGUCUCUGUCACGUACCUCUCUCCGGGGAGGCCUUAUAGGGGAGACGACAUACUACCAGCCUGGACUGAGGUCCGCGCAUCUGCUAGGAUGCUGGCGUAAUGGCUGU